GCAAGUCGAACGGUAACAGAGAAGAGCUUGCUCUUUUGCUGACGAGUGGCGCACGGGUGCGUAACGCGUAUACAAUCUACCUUUUACAGGGGUAUAGCCUUUAGAAAUGAAUAUUAACACGCCAUAGUAUCUAAGUAUCUCAUGGUAUUUAGAUUAAAACUUCGGUGGUAAAAGAUGAGUAUGCGUUCUAUUAGCUAGAUGGUAAGGUAACGGCUUACCAAGGCGACGAUAGAUAGGGGGCCUGAGAGGAGGAUC
rnacentral:rRNA from 1 species